UGCAGCAACGCCGCGUGAGGGACGACGGCCUUCGGGUUGUAAACCUCUUUUAGUAGGGAAGAAGCGAAAGUGACGGUACCUGCAGAAAAAGCACCGGCUAACUACGUGCCAGCAGCCGCGGUAAUACGUAGGGUGCAAGCGUUGUCCGGAAUUAUUGGGCGUAAAGAGCUCGUAGGCGGUUUGUCGCGUCUGCUGUGAAAACUGGAGGCUCAACCUCCAGCCUGCAGUGGGUACGGGCAGACUAGAGUGCGGUAGGGGAGAUUGGAAUUCCUGGUGUAGCGGUGGAAUGCGCAGAUAUCAGGAGGAACACCGAUGGCGAAGGCAGAUCUCUGGGCCGUAACUGACGCUGAGGAGCGAAAGCAUGGGGAGCGAACAGGAUUAGAUACCCUGGUAGUCCAUGCCGUAAACGUUGGGAACUAGAUGUGGGGGCCAUUCCACGGUCUCCGUGUCGCAGCUAACGCAUUAAGUUCCCCGCCUGGGGAGUACGGCCGCAAGGCUAAAACUCAAAGGAAUUGACGGGGGCCCGCACAAGCGGCGGAGCAUGCGGAUUAAUUCGAUGCAACGCGAAGAACCUUACCAAGGCUUGACAUAUACGAGAACGGGCCAGAAAUGGUCAACUCUUUGGAC
rnacentral:rRNA from 1 species